GCUACCUGGUUUUCAUAUAUAUUUGUCUUUGUUUUCUUUUGGUGUCACUGAGUACUCUUUUUCACAUUGCUGUUGCACAUAGUCGUAUUAGAAUUGUGAUUCUGAUUAGGGCUCUUCUGGAGGACUUCUUAGGCAGUGAACUUUCAAUGAGUAUGAUCAGCAAGGGUUGCACCAUUACCAAAUAUCCAUACAAGGCAUAGCAAGAGGCUUAGAUGGCUAUCACUCCAUUCAGAGCAACAAAAUAAAGAGGAACAGCUUUUCAUGCCGGUAUGGAACGUGGCUGGGUAAGAUGGUGGCAAUUGAGGACAGCAGAAGAUGGGAGGAAAGAACUUCUACAGACGGACAAACCGACAAGGAGGAGGUGAGGAGUGCUGCCAGCUUUUGGAAUGAAGCUUGUGCCAAGAUCUGUGUCGUUGCUGAUUUUCACAUGAUGGGUGUGGAAAUGCCUGGUUUUAUCAGAGCUGGCUUUGCUGAAGAUGCCUUGCAGGACUGCAGAAGGGGAAGCCCAGCUCUCCUUCAGAUCAACUCUGUCGCAUCUGGUACAACUGAAACCAUAUCAAAGGAAGGACAUGUCCAACACCCUCUCUUGGGAGGAGGCUGAUGAGUGACAGUGUCAUGAAAUGGUUGCUGGCAAACCUCUUUGCUUGUGAGCACUGUGGUGCUGGACAGAUGGAUAUCGCAUCUUGACUGCUUCUGAGAUGUCCCAAAGUUUUCAGUUCAGAAGCCCCCUGAGCCCAGGGCUGCAUGCUACACUGAAAUGUUCAAUCCUGCAUUUGAAUAAGCUGAAUCAAGCCAGCCAUACUGCUAAACAUAUGCAUGGAGAUUUCUGACAUAAAUUAAUGCUGUUCUGAAGCACUUGUAGUCCAGUUGUUGCUGCCUUGUGUUAUUGGAGAACGACCCCAAGGAGAAUGGAGUAAAAGGGAACGAUAUCCUAAAAUGAAUGAAUACAAAGCCAAGAAAUUUAAUGCUGUAACGUCAGCCAUCAGUCUGCCUCUAAUGUAUGGCUCUUGGUGAAUAUUCCAGCCCUGUCUGUCGUGCAGGAGCCCAGCAGAUGGAGCAGUGCUCCUGUGCAUGAGGCGGUGCGGGGCCUCAUCCAGAGCUGCACUGUGCAGUCGAGCCGAUCUACCCCCGUGCAUCUAUAAAGCACAGAAUAAAAGUGAUGGAACUGAGCUCUGCUGCUGUACAAGCACAGCCUGGCUAGGUUAUGUGCUGAGGGCUCUGCCUGCCCUUAACCACCUGCUGUGAAUCUCAGCUGGUGCACUCAGAUGCUGUCAAAGAAGACACAAUUUUUGGCUCCAGUGUGAUGUGUAAAUGAAUGGGUUCUCUUUGAUUUUGGAGCAGCCGAUGCCUUUGUUUCAGCCUUCUUGCUUACAUGGGUGUGUAUGGAGAAGAACGCUGGUCAGUGACCACAGCAUUGUCUGUCAGCAGGUCAUGUUUAAAGCUGUGAUGCUAUUAAAAAUUGUUCCAUUGCUCUACUUUUAUGGAACAAACAUGGAUUUAUUUCCCAGAGUGAAGCUCUGCCUUCUUUUGUUUCCAAUAAGAGCUGCUGCAGAGCUUAUCCUGUGUGAGACCAAGCUGUACAGAUAGGGACUUUCCUGAUAGAUACCUAGGGUCGGUUUAUCUCUUCAAUCACAACUUUUAUAUUGCUCUCAAAUUCAGAUUUUUAAUGUUUUCCUAUGAAAAUGAACUUGAUCAAGAUCUUGCAGACUAGAGAGCUGACAGGGCAGUAGCUGGCCAGAUGCUUCCUAUGUAUCCCGUAUGUUUGAAGUUUUGUCUGGUGUUCAGUGAAGGCUGACACACAUGCAUGAGAGGAAAAAAUGUGCUAUCAGUGGAUAGCACUGACAUCUUCUCAGUGAGUAAUGCAAACAAAGAUGACAUUCCUUCCUGUACAAACCAGUCCCAGGAUGGAAGCAACAUUAAAAGCCAGAAUCUCUCCUCUUGUAAUGUAUAAUAGCAAUGUCUAAUUCUAGAUGUUCAAAGCUAUUUCCCUUAAGGUUACCCUGUGAUGUGGAACAUGUUUUGCACAGGCGAUGCUAUGAGAGCAGCUCAGCACACUUCGGUAUGCAGCGAGUUCCUCGGUCAGGGUUCCCCUUGGAGUUCCUCAGCAGGCAGUAAGUAUGUGACAUCCUUUGAGUCAUCUCUUACCUUUAAAGCAGCAUUCCUUCAUGAAAGAUGUUUUGUUUUCAAAUCUUAAAACUCUACACAGAGCAUUGCAUUUCAUAGACCUGUGAUACGCAUUUUUGAAGGGGGAGUAGGGUUGAGGGAAGAAGAUGAGAGCUGCCUUUGGGACUGCACAGGUCUGUCUGUGGUGUGCAGGUUCACGCUUUGUCUGUAGUAUUACCUUCUCAUCAGUGGUUUUCUCUGUGCCCUUCUCCAGUUUGCUACUCCCCUCUCAGACUGAGCAGACAAAUGGGAGCUUAAAUUAUUCCUGGGUGUUUGCAGUUUACCUCGUUUAAAUCCCUCUUUAGAUUAUGCCUCUCACCCCCAUUUACCACCUUGGACUGAAGCUCAGUGUUGUGAUCUUGUCUCCCUUUUGUAUACUGGGACUUUGUGUUUCCCUUGUGAUUCUCUUGGGCUCCUCCUGAGGUGAAAGCCUUCAGGAGGUCAGGGAAAUGAGGAACCAUCUGCCUUCAUAGUUUGGCAUCUCAUUCUGAGGGAGAUUUCCAUGUUGUUUUUUCAGCAGCUGGCAUUGAAAUCUUGCUGGAGGCUGCCAGGACCAAGUCCCUGGGUAUCCCAAAGCGGUAAGGCCGUCAGGGCCCAGAUCUGGUGAAUGCUUUCUGUAAAGACCUCCCGCUGAUGAGACCAUCCAGGCAGUUCCAGAAAUUCUGAGCUAAUUGCACAAGAGGUGAAGCUCCUAUGUGGCAAUGAUCGAUUUGGCUUCAAGCCCUGCAGAGCAGACAGCAGCUGAUGAAAACAAGAGCCCAGGCAUGUGAUUGCAGAUCCUUAAUCCAGCUAAAAUACCAUGAUGCUUGACCUCGUUAGAAAAAAGGCCACGAAACAUCUCUCUCUGGGUUCUUCCUUGCUGUGUCCAGUGAAAUACUGGGAGUUUGGCCAGGUAUUCCUCUCUCUCUGAUGAAAAGCUGUGCUUUCCUUUUCACCUUGGGAACACUGAUAGCCAGUUCUGGAGUUCAUUCUGAGUCUAUUUGAGGUCUCCGUACUGAUAGCUUGCAUUCAAAUUCAUCUAUAAGGAUAGGUGAGAAAAUGCCAUCAUUUCUACGCAUGUGGCUUAAUAUUCUGUAUUAGUUGUCUGCACCUUUUGGGUAGUGGAUGAAGUGGUCCUACAGGGUGACUUGGUUUUUACAGAGAUAUCUCUGUCCCAGCAUUCUUUUUCUUGUUCUUUUCAGUUCAGCAUAGAUCCCAGCAGAGCAAUCUUGCCUUUCACAGCUGCACUUCAGGCAGGGGAUGGGGUAAAAGGGGUUUGGUUGGCAUUUGCAGACUAGAGAUGGCUGUUAUUUCCCUGUAGAUGACAAUACUGCCUCUUGUUUCACCAAGGAGUAUCAGAGCAGCUUGGUGAAAAUCAGCCAGGGGUCAUCAGUGAUUUGUUGUGGUCAUUAGCACAGCAUGCAGUCCAGCAGCCGGGGGCUCCUGAUGGUGUGCAGCACAGUGGGGUGCUGCCUGCAGGGGUCUGGGCUCCCCUGGGGCACCCACCUGCAGUGGCUCUGUCUGCACCGAUCACUGUUAAAUGUCAAUAAGAGCCUAUAAGGGAGAGACCUGGGGAAAUGGAAAUGGCAGCUCAGUAGGCAGUGACGGAUAGUGUGCUGGGGCACACUGGAGGAUGACUGAUGGAUUUAUUUAGGGCUCAGUUCAGUAAAGAUUCAGUUGCAUGGAGCUUUGGCUUAGCGUGGAAUGGGGAGAUGCUAAGAAUCCAGUACUCUGAGCCUUUCCCAGCACACCACUAUUAAUGCCUUGCACAAAGCAUUGCAGCCAGCCCCAUGCCAGCCCUUUGCCUUGCCACCAAGCUCAGUUGCUGUGAGAUUUUUAGAUGCUGCAGCAACACUGAGGGGAUUUUGAGACACAGGGUCUGGGGGUUCUGGACCUGACCAGACCUCAUAGUAGUGAUGUUGGGGAGCUGCAAGCCUUAAGUGUAAGCUCUGCUUACUUUCCAGCUUUUGCUGGCAGCAGCAGGGUUGGAGUGGUGCUGGGACAACAUCACGUAGGACCAGUACCUUGUUACUAAUCUAGGGAACCUCCCUUGCCCCACUGCUAAUAGAGACAGCAAGACACAAACUGGCUACACCCUGCAAAUUCUGCUGUGAUGUAGCCCAUACUCCAUGCCCAACCUUUGCUAUGCAUCCUCUGCAUCCAGAAUGCAUGUCUGCUAUGGUCCAUCAUGGUAGGAAUUGCCAGGCUUAAACAAGUGCACCCUCUGGGAGCCUUUCUGGGGUGUGGGUUGGCACCAGUUGCUUCCCACGAUGGUGUGAAAGGGUCCUGGCAGAGAGUUCUGCAAUGUCUGCAGGGAUGUCAUGCCCUGGCAUCAUCGUUUGGCUGGGAGAUCAGCCUUCUCUCAUGUGAAAAUACAGCAGAGCAAACCUAGACACAACAGGGGCAUUGCUGUCCCUCAGGGCUUCCUCCUUCUUCCUCUGCCAGAACAUUUGCUGGGUGAACGCCACACUGUGUGAGUCCUUGUAGCUGGCAGAGGCAGACAGAGGCCAUCUGUGGGGUCGUUGCUUCCCCACAGCCUCCUGGUCCUGAAGCAGGCCUGGCCGAGCAGCCUUCCUCCCUGCUUGUCUCUUGCAGGCCAGGCACUGAGGCUGGGCAUUGGCACAGGCUGGUGUUGCCACUUCACUAAGUGAAUUUAUAGAAUCCCAAGAAAAUAUACCCCUUUUUCUAAAGAUUGCAUGAGGCGGAGCAGCACUUUAACAUUACUUAUUCUGCAGGCUGAUUUUUGCCCCUCGCCGUGGCAUGAUGCCUGCUCAACAAGCACGCUUUGUUCACUGCUCAGCUGCUUUAAGGUCCUGCUCACCAGCUAGGCUUUGGAGGGAUUAAUAAUGUCUCUUUUUUUCCCCCAUACAAUGUCCUUGACAAGCCAGAAAUCCGCCCAUUCGCUGUUUCAAGCAAUUAAAAUGAUGACACUGCCAUCAACCCCCACACAACCGGUUGGCGAAAGCACUGUGCGACGGAAACUCCGGUGAAUUUGUAUGUAAGUUGGCAGAGAACAGCCCCGCUGACUUCCCAGGCUUUGUUGCUCAAAUACAAACAUGUAAAACCAGUGUUAGGCACUGAGAGCUGUGCCAAAGUCGACUGCUGCCGCGUACAAUAAAACAGCAUGUGGAGGGUUGCUGUUCUAAUUGGGCAGCCAGGAACCCCGGCGGACGGCAGGGCUUAUUUAUUGAUUGCUCUUCAGAUCAGGAACUGGACGGCACCACAGGGAGCAAGUAAAAGAGGAAAAGUGUUUUAAAUACAUUGUAAAUGCUCUUUUGCAGGAUUAAUGAGCGGGAAACUGUAACGUGUUAACGGAAUGCACAGAAAAGUGAAAGCUGGUAAACCUGCAUGGCUUUGCCUUGCACAGGAGAAUUCUGCUUCAGUGGAGAUGGGGAAAUACAGUUUGAAAUGUGAGCAGCUUGCCACAUGGGACGUGUGCUUGGAGAUCUGAAGCUGUGGUGGAAAGGGGCCUGGAUAGACUCUGGUGGAUCUAGACCUGAUCCUGCAUUGAUAGACUGCCACCAAGACCAUUUGGCAAAUACUCCAGGAUCUUAUCCAGCUUUGUUCCCUCCAUGUCAUCCCUUUAGAGGUUUUCACAGAUCACUGCAAAUGAAGGAUGAACCGUAUGAAAUGUGAGACAGACAACGGAGAGGUGAAAGCAGAGGAAAGUGACUGCUAUCACUGACUUUGAAAGAACUCCUGUUCUGGACUCAGUAUGCAGAAGCAAACACCAACUGCACACAGAGGCAGCAUUCCUUGUAUGACACCCCCAUCAUCAAGCCCAGAUGCUCUGGUGGAGCGCAGAUGUCCCACAGAGGUCCAAUCUAAUGCGCUGAAGUGACAGAGAAUCUGCUGUAUCCUCAGAACAAUGAUAACCAGCAGAUACACCAGCUGCCUGGCAGAGGAGCAGACAGAACUCUCCUGGGACUGACUGCAAUGUCAAUGUUCCUUGAUGGGUCAUCGAGGUUUGGAUUCUGGUUUGCAUCGCACCCUCUUCAAGCAUCUCCUCUGGCUGCAGGGGAUGUCCUCUGCUUGCUCCUGCAUCCUUUGAUUGCCUGUUUAGAAGGUGGCACUGUCUGCUGCCAAAGGGGCUGUGUGAUACCUUAGCACAGUGGGUCUCUGCCUUGGAGCUGGAUGGCUACAUGCUGCCCUGAGACACGGUGAUACUGUGCAGCACAGACAAAACUUAAUGGAUCACACUAGAAAACACCUGGUGUUUGACAGACAGCUCAGAGUCCCACAUGUCCUUAAGAAGCCUAGAGAGAACUGAACAGUUCCAGGUGGUGCAGGAGUAUGUUGAUGUGCAAACCAUUACCUUUAAUCUUCCUGAAAAUACUUCUUCAGAAUUGCUGCUUCAGCUGCCAUUUCCUCUUCAGUCCUCCACUCGGCAGGGGAAUCCUCUUUGUCAUGGCCCUGCAACUGUUUUUGAGAGAAGAAGAGAAAUAUAAGACAUCUGACUGAAACUACUGGAGUUUUCUAUGGAUUUAUAGGAUGGAAAGACCUGGCGAUAGAAAGAUGAAGGGUGAAGGUUACUGGUUUUGGACUGUGACAGCAGUAGGAUUGGUUUUAUUGUUUUGCUUUGGGGAAAGACUUGAAGCUCGUACUUCAUAUGGACAUGAGUAACCAUGUACUAUUCAGCAAUUCACUUCAAUGAAGAGAAUGUUGUGGAAACAUAGAAAGGUUAAGCAGAAACUCUGAGAGCACGUGCUUAAGUGUUUUGCUAAAAUACACACGACAAGAGCAAGUUCCCAACAGCUCUGUACCAAAGUAAAUAAAUAAAUAAAAUAGAAAAGGUAUCCUGAGCAAUUUCUUUCCUAAAGGAUAAGAGACAAAAAAAAAAGUCAACUACAAGCAGAACGAUGGCCGUAUAGAAAACACAUUUGCUGUUCAGGGAAAUACACAGAUUGCACUCUGAAGAGCUGAAAUCUUGAUGGACUUCCAGCUUGGCUCCAUCUGAGAUAAAACUCUUGGAAAGAGAGUAUGCUACAAAGGAGAUACUUGAAGGAAUAUCCAACAGGGUUAGAAGUCCUGUCAAAGACUUGGAGAACUGCUGUUUGCAGUCUGAUAUGAAUCCAGGCAAGAAACCAUGAAUAUCUUUGGCUGCAAUUUGUUUUUAAGUAGAAAAAGUUGCCUGUUAUUCUCCCGGGUAGCAGAUAAUGUCACCAGUUACACCUGGAAAGAUGAGGCAAAAGGGAUGCAGGGGGAUUUCCUAAGAGCAUUUUCUAGUGAGAACUGUCUACACACAGAGAUGUUUUGCACAGAGUUUUGGGAAGAAAUGGCAAUGUCAUCAACGUGAUAAUGCUGAAAGAAAUGUUAUAAUGUGUGCACAGCCUGCCAUGCAACAUUACUCAUUUGGAAAAAGGAUAUUUUUAAUCAAGAAAAAGCACUUUAAUCAAGUAUAGAGUCAGUGAUUCAAAAAUUUCAUGCAGGUGCAUGUAUUACUUGACUGAAAGCAUCUCCCCCAAAGGUCAGAGCAGCAGGGAGAUGUGCAUGUCCCAUCCCAGCAGUGGAGAUAACCUCGGGGUGCCCAUAUCAGCCUGAUGUAUUCUGGCUCAGGGAGCCUCAAAGUCAGAGCUUCCCCCUCUAAUCCUCUUAACUUUAAACAAAUAUUUGCCAUAUCCUAGGCACACUCAGUAAGAUUCAUGGCAUGCCAAAGAAGACACAUUUGCGUUAGGGAGGUUGAUUCAGUUUUCCUUUGUAUUUUUCCACCCACACAGAAGAAAUCGGCUGCAGGUCCUACAGCAUAUGCAGAGCUGGUUCAGCAAACAGCAGGGACAACAGCAUGCCCCCAGCUCCUGGGGAGCCCUUCCCUCCUCCCUGCAUCUCUGGGAGCUGCAGGAAGAGCUCACAAUGGCCAGAACAGAGAACAGAUUUCUGCUUGGCAGGUGAACAAGCGUACUCCAACCCAACAGCUCCUAUUGAGCAAACCUCCCCGCCUCUCCUCACCACCUCCCAAGCCCCACAACUCUCUGAAAUUAAAAAACAACAUUCAAUCAACGUUUCCUGGAGUAGCUGGUUCUCUGAGUCACUCUCUCCGCUGACUGCAGGAAGAUUUUAAGAUUUCAAAUGUCAGAACUGACACAUGCUGCACACUGGAGGCAAACCCCUGCGGUUCCAAAGCCUGCUUGUGCGUGCUUCCAGGAGCACUCAGGGACCCCUCGCCUGCCAGCAGUCCUCCCCAGAACAGGGCUGUCUGCCUUCUCCUGGAUGCAGCUUCAUCCCUAGGAUGCCCUUUUCCUCCCAGGCACCCCUCUGAUACUUCUUUAGCUUUCAGCCUGGCACACACAAGGCUACCUUGCCUCCAAGAUUGCCUCCCUGGGACUUAAGUGGCCAAUACCAUCCAGUAAGUAGGCACUAAAAUAGGCUGAGGAAUAAAUUGCUCUCAUUUAACAUUCACUCUGAAAAAUAUGGCUGCAUUUAUUAUGCAGUAUAUUGUUUUAUAUACUGUUUUGUUAUAAUAAGUCAUGUUUAAAAUGUCAUGACAUUUAAAUCAACAGCAAUAAGAGGGAAAUACUGAGAAAGAUCAAAAAGGAUUUGAAAAAAUCCUAGCAAAAUGUUAUGGGCCAAACUCCAUGGUUCGAGUAAAAAUAAAGUGGUUGUUCCCAGGUGUGGUGGCAGAGAGGUGGGGUGGUUGUGGCCAAGGGACUCAAGUGCUUAAGGCAAAGCCAUCACAGUGCUCUGCGUGUCCCCUCUUCCCCUCUCCCCCCUGUGGUUUUAGUUUCUCUGGGCUGUCCUUUGCUAUCAAGCCACCACAAUACCCUGAAUAUGUCCUUAGAACUUGAUAAUGCCAUUUGUCUCAGUGAGGAGCUUUAUUUCAAUGCCUGUGCUAAGUUAUAUGAAUGAACUUUAUAUUAUACAGUAUAAAAGCUUACUUUAAUGUGACUUCAUAGCCUUUGAGAAAACACAGAGCCUGUCAACCACUGAUGAUUUACAUGCAUAAUGGCAGAUUUUCACCACAAAGACUUCUGAUGUUAAAAAGAAAAUAACUUGGAUCAGAGGAGCGACUGUGUUACUGCAGAUUGUGUGCUCAUUUUUCUAUCAGGUUUGAACCCUCAUGGAGCAUCCCUCACUGCUGCCUCUGUGCAUCCUCACCCCCCGCCAAGGGGAAAAACAACAACUGCAACAACAAAACAGAUGGUGAUGCAACGAAACAUUAAACCCAAUCCCAAUACCUGAGCUGUACCAUGAAUAUUUCACUGAGGCAGAGGGUAGAAAAGACAACAAAAUGAUCUUUUCUAGCAUCUUAAGGGAUAUCUAACCUUGUAAUUGCUAUAGACACGGAGGACACACAAGAUGGAGACCAAGACUACUUAAAAGCUGUGUGUAUUUUCUAAAAAUUAGUAACUCAAUGUUCCCAUUACAACCUGCCAAUACGAAUGACAUUUACUCUUGCUCUGAGGAAUGAAAGAAACUCUAAGAGACAGACUGCAUUAAGAAUCUAUUGAUAUUCCACUGACCUAGUGCCAUAUGAACCAGACAAGUUUUGUCAAGGGCAAAUGCCCCAGAGUCUGAAAAUUCAUUUCUUAAAGUAGCAGCAAAGGAAAAAAGAAAUAUAUUAUGUAUCUUCAGUGUCGAGAAUACUUAUAAAAUCAAGUGUUGGCUUGCACUGUCCUGAUAUUGCAACAGCAGUAUACAGCACUAGACCCAAAUAUGUGAGCAGAACUGGAGAUAUCAGAUGGUCAAUCACCUCUCCCAGUUUUCCUAGCAAGUUAGCACUGCCAUAAAGUUUAAACGGGAUGUUCCCUUAAGAGAUAUCACAUAGGUUCUAAUCCAGUUUAUUUUAUCUUAUUACAAAAACUUCACAAAGCUAAGUUACCCAUAGCAGAAUAGGGUCUAAGACUUUCCUUUGCAAGGAAUGGAUGCAGAAAGCAUGAGCUGCUCAGGGCAUCCCCAUGGUGCCUUGUACUGGUGGGGGCACACAGACAAAGGAACUGGAAGGAGAGUGAGAACAACUCAGUACUGUCCAGGCAGGCUCCUUCAUCCCUCAAGAUAAACCACUUAACACAUACACUACACCAAAUGAGAACAAAAAGUCACAGACAAGGGACCCAAUUCAGAAGCAACAUGAGAACCCCUAUUUUUUUUUUUUUCUUAGUGAAGUUGAGCCUGAGAUAGAAGAGGCUUUUUCAAGGGGUGUGGGAGCACAGGCUGCCUUCAUUCGAGGAGGAGGAAUAUAUUUGCUCCUCUUCCAAUCUGCAAUGUUGGCCUUUUGUUCAAAUUCUUUUUCUGGGGGGUAAGACUGCAGUUAUACCCACGUGAGGCCUGCGCUGAAGAGUGGGGAUGGCAUUAUAGCCUGGGAAUAUAAUAUUCUGUAAUAGAUUUCAGUGAAUGGACUGAAUUU